rnacentral:rRNA from 1 species
GACGAACGCUGGCGGCGUGCCUAAUACAUGCAAGUCGAGCGAACAGAUGAGGAGCUUGCUCCUCUGACGUUAGCGGCGGACGGGUGAGUAACACGUGGAUAACCUACCUAUAAGACUGGGAUAACUUCGGGAAACCGGAGCUAAUACCGGAUAAUAUAUUGAACCGCAUGGUUCAAUAGUGAAAGACGGUUUUGCUGUCACUUAUAGAUGGAUCCGCGCCGCAUUAGCUAGUUGGUAAGGUAACGGCUUACCAAGGCAACGAUGCGUAGCCGACCUGAGAGGGUGAUCGGCCACACCGGAACUGAGACACGGUCCAGACUCCUACGGGAGGCAGCAGUAGGGAAUCUUCCGCAAUGGGCGAAAGCCUGACGGAGCAACGCCGCGUGAGUGAUGAAGGUCUUCGGAUCGUAAAACUCUGUUAUUGGGGAAGAACAAAUGUGUAAGUAACUAUGCACGUCUUGACGGUACCUAAUCAGAAAGCCACGGCUAACUACGUG